CACUGCACACAUAAACUCAAUGCCCUCUUCCUGAAGAAAUGUUGAAGAAUUACGAUAAUAAAAAGAGCUGCCAUAAGGAAAAGUCAGCUGAAACAGGAAGGAACGCUGAGGAUCUUGGUGAAGCUCCACCAAGACCCACAACCAUGUUGGCUGCUGGAGCUAAAGGCCAAGAAGGUGACCUUGCAGCUCAAGCUAUAACAGUAACAUCUGCACCAGUGUCAAGCGUAACUUGAUUACAUUGAAUUAAAAUAAUCACCCAAGACAAUAUACAUGACGAGCUGGAUAAAGCUUUGCAGUGUGAGCAUGAGGCGAGACUGCUUUUACAAGAACACCAGCGACGGCUUCAGGAGUUAAGUAAUAGACUAGAAUUGCACACAUGUGCAGACCCAGAUAGAAGCCAAGUCUCAAAGGUGUCUCUGAUGAGCCUCCAUGGUGCAACGGAGGAGCUGAGGAGAAGAGACCAAGUUCUGAAUCACCAGAAGAGUCUCCUGAAAGACAUGGAGCAGGACCAGCAGCAGCUGCGUGAGACUCUCCAGGAGGCAGAACAUGCCCUCCAACAGGC